GCCUUCGUUGUGUAACGGUAGCACACUCGGUGCGUAUUCGAGAGAUCCAGGUUCGAGUCCAGACGAGAGCA
rnacentral:tRNA from 1 species